AGAAAAUGCCCUUGUCACUCAUGUGGCCCGUGGGGUGAUUCCCCUUCCCGUGUUUAAGGGGUGUCCUCACCGGACACUGCCCCUUAAUGCCGAGCAGCUGAAGGACCAUAUGUCUUGGCAUCUUCACGGCGUCUGAUAUAAUAUUGAUCGCACACCAUCGAUCCGCUUGCUGUGCAAGGCUGUGACAGAGCAGAGUCCGUGCAUUGGGUGGGUAGUGUGGACCUGGGACCGGCUGUGCGGGAGCGCGCGGCGGGGAGUGUGGACCCGGGAGCGCGCGGUGGGGUUCGUGGACCCGGGAGCGCGCGGCGGGGAGUGUGGACCCGGGAGCGCGCAUCACUGGCUCUGUGCCGGCACAUUGUUGCAGUCGGGUGGACGUGUAUAUCUGCAGGCUGCUGCCAGUCAUUGACAUUCACCCGGCGUGGGAACCAUCAGAGAACAGCUUCUGCAUCUGAACCGAUUCAGUUACUCAGGGCGUAGACUAUUCAACAGAGAUGCUCUACAGAGGCAGGAACCAUCCCAACAUGUAAGAAACAGUUUGACAGUAUAAUCUGAAGAAUUGAAUUGGUCUUGAAUUACAUUUGAACAUGGUGGGAAAUGACAAUGGUGCCUGGCUAACAUUGAUCAAAGCAGGCAUUACAGGGCAGAGACUGAAUUCCAAAAUAGUCAAGCUAUAUAUUUUCAGCUCAUUAUUGACACUUCUGACAGUCUUCUUGGGACUAAUAGAGAUGUUACAUUUGAUCAAACAGCCUACCAAAGAGGAUGGUGACUUUGAAGCAAGCAAAAUGUUUGCCAACACGUCAAGAUUCACAAGAAACCAUUGUUCAAUUACAAAGAAAAAUCCAUGCAGAUUACAUGCCUCUUAAAGUUUCCAAACUGAAAAUCAAAGGUGUGAAUGGUUAUUUGGAUUUGUGUUUUUCAGCCAGAGAGAGCAUGUCAUAUGUUUAAAUGUUAUAUUUGACGUUGAUGUUUAUUGUUGAGCCUCUCACUAGUUAUUCAAAAUGCAGAGAUUAAAUUAGUGCUUUGUACUAAUAACCAAAGUCUUAUUUUUCUCAAGAAAAGAUGGUAAUUUUAUAGUUUACUAUAUUUGUGGCUAAUUUAAUGAUUUGUGUAAAUUUAGUCUACCAUGUUUAAUUUGUCACUGCAAAAAUGUUGUGUCUUUGUUGUACAUUUAUGCAGUUGAGAGUGUUGCUAUCUGCCAUAGACUUAAAAAUACAAACAUGUACAAUUUUGUGCAACAUAUACUCAAUAAUGUGAUUAUAGCACACACAUUUGACAGACUUAAUUUGUAAUUUUGUACAUAAUACUGAUGUUUAAUUUUCAUUUUGAUUAUUGUUUAUUCCUGCUGUUCAAAGAAUCUAGUCCUGUGCUAUGAUUGAACAACAUUAAAAGAUGCUUUUUAAAAUGUUGACUUUCUUUGCUUGGGAUUGCUGCUAUCAGAAUGUAUGUUUGGACAUCAAUUAUCAAUGUGGGUACACUCUGAAGAUUAAAAAAACAGCUUUUGAAAGUAGUGCAUUUUCAUAAUAUAUUAGAUCAAGUGGGACCCGUUGCCCCAAACACAAUAAUCCACCA